AAGUCGUAACAAGGUUUCCGUAGGUGAACCUGCGGAAGGAUCAUUGCGAAUCGUGGGAUGGGUUUGGUGGAAUGGGAUUGGCUGGUGGUUUUAAGCCAUUCUGUCCUGUUCUGCCACGCUCAACAUAUGGUCUCGGACCGAGUAUUUGCAUCUGCGUUUAUUCGGCCCGCUUGACAUUUACGCUUGUCUUGUUUGUCAGAGUUUAAUAUGCAAAGUUUAUACAACUUUUAACAAUGGAUCUCUUGGCUCUU
rnacentral:misc_RNA from 1 species